ACGUCAAAUCAUCAUGCCCCUUAUGUCCAGGGCUUCACACAUGCUACAAUGGUCGGUACAACGCGUGUGCGAUCCUGUGAGGGUGUGCUAAUCGCUGAAAGCCGGUCGUAGUUCGGAUUGGGGUCUGCAACUCGACCCCAUGAAGUCGGAGUCGCUAGUAAUCGCAGAUCAGCAACGCUGCGGUGAAUACGUUCCCGGGCCUUGUACACACCGCCCGUCACGUCAUGAAAGUUGGUAACACCCGAAGCCCAUGGCCCAAACUUGUUAGGGAGUGGUCGAAGGUGGGCUCGGCGAUUGGGACGAAGUCGUAACAAGGUAGCCGUACCGGAAGGUGCGGCUGGAUCACCUCCUUUCUAAGGAGC
rnacentral:rRNA from 1 species